rnacentral:rRNA from 1 species
GAUGAACGCUGGCGGCGUGCCUAAUACAUGCAAGUCGAGCGAAUGGAUUAAGAGCUUGCUCUUAUGAAGUUAGCGGCGGACGGGUGAGUAACACGUGGGUAACCUGCCCAUAAGACUGGGAUAACUCCGGGAAACCGGGGCUAAUACCGGAUAACAUUUUGAACCGCAUGGUUCGAAAUUGAAAGGCGGCUUCGGCUGUCACUUAUGGAUGGACCCGCGUUGCAUUAGCUAGUUGGUGAGGGAACGGCUCACCAAGGCAACGAUGCGUAGCCGACCUGGGAGGGUGAUCGGCCACACUGGGACUGAGACACGGCCCAGACUCCUACGGGAGGCAGCAGUAGGGAAUCUUCCGCAAUGGACGAAAGUCUGACGGAGCAACGCCGCGUGAGUGAUGAAGGCUUUCGGGUCGUAAAACUCUGUUGUUAGGGAAGAACAAGUGCUAGUUGAAUAAGCUGACACCUUGACGGUACCUAACCAGAAGGCCACGGCUAACUACGUGCCAGCAGCCGCGGUAA